UGUUUUUAAACUUUAUCAGGUUCUUCUAACCAAGAUAUAAAGGGCUUUCCUUCUCCAUAACUUUUGUUUUCAAACCAAAAUAAAGUCAGGUAGGAAAUGCACAAAGGCGUACAUAAAUCUCAGCUAGUAGCCAACCCUGUGAGCCAACAGCCGUUUUGGGAAUUACUCUGAAAACAAAUCAAAUCAUGGCUGACUGCAGCCAUUCUCAACCUUAGCUCCUCAAUGAUUUAGCACCUUCUGUGAAGGUCCACACAAUUAAAAGCAGCCUGUUUAUGGACUGCUUAUCUGCACAGGACCAGGCUGAAAAAGAGAGAGAGGGAGAGAGAGAGAGAGACCGACAGACAGACAGACAGACACAGUGUGAGAGAGAAAGAUGUACCCAGGGUGGGAGGCAGAGAAAAUGUGUAUAAAAGUUGGAUGUGAUUCAGUUCCUCAACUUGUCUACCUUUAAAAAAAAUUACAAAAUAAGGGCAAUUUUUACCAUUUGUUAAAGAGAAAGAUGUACAAGCCACUUAUAAAAAGAGUAGAGCUUCAAGAGACUGAAAAAAAGGGACAUAAAACCAGCGUCUUAUUGCGCAGUUUGAGCGGGAUGUUUACAGCCUUUGAAAGCAUCUUGCCCAUCAAAGGGACGAUGCCUGUCGUCUCCUCAGGAGGGCUCUCCAACGCUAGUCGCCGUAGGUUGCGCUUCCCUUCCCCUAGGAACUGAUAGGAAGAACUGCAGCAGGGACGGUCCUCCUACGACAGCACCCUAUGCACGGUAGUUCUCAGCUUGUGUUCACUGCUUACAUCUCCUUUGCCUUCGGGCACAGAACGAACAGCCUUGCCUCCAGCGCAGGUCUCCAGGACACGCUAAUCGCUGCUGCUCUCCUUGCCGGCUGUCCGCGACACUGACCCCGCCCCUUUCUGUCGAUUACAUCCCUCUGCCUUCAGCUUCUACAGAAUUGCUGCCUAUCCACUCUGUGUCAGCACAGGACGACCGUCGUGUUCCCUCAUGGAGUUUACGGAACAAACGAGGAGGCCUAUUUACAUAGGUCUGCUCUUUAAACAAAGAAGCAUGUACAACCCAUGGAUUUGAGCCGGGUGUUGAGGCCCACCCUUUCAGCCCCAGGUACUCAGAAGGCUGAAGCGGGAAGAUUUCCUUACUUGAGCACCUGAGUUUAAGACCAACCUGAGCAACAUUGCAAGGACUCUCCAUCAAUCAAUAAAAAUCCCCAAACAA